CACGUAGGGCGCAAGCGUUGUCCGGAAUUAUUGGGCGUAAAGAGCUCGUAGGCGGUCUGUUGCGUCCGCUGUGAAAACCCGGGGCUUAACCCUGGGCUGGCAGUGGAUACGGACAGACUAGAGGUAGGUAGGGGAGAAUGGAAUUCCCGGUGUAGCGGUGAAAUGCGCAGAUAUCAGGAGGAACACCAAUGGCGAAGGCAGCACUCUGGGACGUGACUGACGCUGAGACGCGAAAGCGUGGGGAGCAAACAGG
rnacentral:rRNA from 1 species